AGAUUGAACGCUGGCGGCAGGCCUAACACAUGCAAGUCGAGCGGUAGAGAGGUGCUUGCACCUCUUGAGAGCGGCGGACGGGUGAGUAAUGCCUAGGAAUCUGCCUAGUGGUGGGGGAUAACGUUCGGAAACGGACGCUAAUACCGCAUACGUCCUACGGGAGAAAGCGGGGGACCUUCGGGCCUCGCGCCAUUAGAUGAGCCUAGGUCGGAUUAGCUAGUUGGUGAGGUAAUGGCUCACCAAGGCGACGAUCCGUAACUGGUCUGAGAGGAUGAUCAGUCACACUGGAACUGAAGACACGGUCCAGACCUCCGU
rnacentral:rRNA from 1 species